GGGUUAGGAAAAUUAUACGUUUUAUUAGUUGCAUAAUAUUAAAUUAUAUAUAAAUAAAAAUGUUUAAAUGGUUACCUACCUAUUGUUUUGAACUUAAAUGUCAUUAUGGUCAUGAAUCUUAUAAAAAAAUUUAAAAGCAAAAACAAAAACGUUUAAAAAUUAAACAAACUUUCAAAAUAGUUAAAGAAUGGUUUAACUUAGCUUGUAAAAGUAGUAAUUUACCUUGGUAAUUUACAACUAACAGGCACUCUAAAUGGCGGGCAAAGUUUUAGGUGGAAAAAACUGGUUCAUAGUAAGGACCAUUGGAUAACCUUGCCAUUGGAUAGGUGAUAGAUAGGUGUAUUCUCAAAUAAAGUUUGGAUACUAAAUCAAGACUGCGAUAGGAUUUUAUAUCAAGUAUAUGGAGCUGAUCAUGAUAGUGAUUUAAACAAACAAUAUUGUAAUGAGCUGUUAAGCAACUAUCUUCAUCUAGAUGUUGAUUUAUCAGAACAUUAUCCAAAAUGGAACAAUCGAGAUCCACAUUUCAAAGAAGCUGCUAAGCAAUUAUACGGUAUCAGAAUAUUAAGACAAGAUCCCACUGAAAAUAUAUUUUCUUUUGUUUGUUCACAACUUUGGUUCACAAAAUAACCACAUUUCUAGGUAUUUCUAGGUAAAAAGGAGACAAUUAAAACAAAAAUCUAUUUAAGUUUUAAACAUUGUAAUAUGAAAUAGAAAUUAAAAAAGUUGAAACAUAAAAACUGUGAUGCAAAUAAGAAAAAACCAGGCGUUUCACUGGCUAGAGUCAACUAGAGUCAGGCAAUAAUGCGAUAAGGCAUAAGGUUGAUAUCACGUUGAUAUAAAAAAAUUAAACAUCUAUUUUUGUAGAGGUAAAAACAAGGUUAAACAAUAAAUAAGAAAAAUCAUUGUAAAACUUAUGUACUCAUUGUUUACCUCAUGUAAGUUUACUUCUCAUUUUUCUGAUAAAGUUUUUUCAGAAUUUACACUUACACUAUGAAAUAUAAAACAUGAACUAUUUAUUCUUUGCAAUGUCGAAGUUGCAAAUGAAUGUUCAUUUUUGAAUCCCAUUUAAAUACUUUUUCUAAUCCCAUUUAAAUACUCUGUUAGUUGACCAAAUGGUUUAAAGAAUUUUUAGGAAUCGCAGGAUAUUAAGAAGACAUUAAUUUCUUCAAAUAUUUAUUAAACUCUCUAGAAAAAGGAGAUUUAGCAGCUUUAUCAACCAUUUUUAAAUUAUUUCUUUAAUUUUGGAUUCAUAGAUGGCGUUCUAAAUAUUUACUGGUAAGCAGAUUCCUAUAAUUUAUAUCUGGAGCGCCAUCUAUGUUAUGAUAGCGAUACUAAAUUGUGGCGGCAUCUGUUUAUUACUUGCUGAACUAACGCAUUUUUUGCGCCAUCUAUGAAAUCAAAAGCUAAACUAAUUCUGAGUUGGCGCCAUCUAUGAGAAUUUCUUAGAACUUAUUCUCCGUCUCUAUCUAAGUUUUCUCUCUCGCACUCACUGCAUAAGUUUAUCCUUUUUUAACGCUGUAUCUGUUUCUUUCACACGCAUUACAAAAUUCUCACCUACCUUUUUGGGAUUUUAAACAAGGAUAGAUACAAAAUUGGAGUCAUUUUCUAUGGACACAAGGAAGGAGAUAAAAUAUUACAUAAUAUGUUUACAAAAUUCACUGGAAUCAUCUCCGAAUUAUUUGUAUUUGCAAAUCGAAUGAUGGACCAUCAAGCAGGACUCCAUAAUUAUUGAAGGUUGUCUAAUGAAUUUAUUCAUGGAAUAAGAAACAGACGAAGGACAAUGAUUGGCUAAGGAUAUUAAUUCAAACAGCAGAAGAUAUUAUAGCUGAAACAGCCAUAGCUGAACAACAAAGAUUUGAAUCUAUGAAACGCAAGUGAGUUGAUCAAUCGGACCUGUUCUUACCUUCGAACGCCACUGCAAUACCCAUAACUACCAGGGCUUCAACACCAGCUGGUUUUUGUUUACUUUAAUAUAUUUUCUUAUAAAAUAUUUAGUAUUUUUAUAUGACAUUAUAUUAAACACAAUUACAUUUAAA